ACUGCAAAAACGCACGAUCUUUACACGUUAUUAUAUCGGUUUACAUUUGCAGGUACCCGUUAAAUACGAUAAUUGUGUAGCAGUAAAUUUCUACACUAUUUUAAAUGUAUUGUCAUUAUAAAACACUUAAGUGUUAUGUUUAAACUGGCUUAUAUAUAUAUACUUAAUAGUUCCUGUUAAUCCAUUUCGAACAAAUGUACGUCUAUUUUUUAAAUAUGUUCAAAUGUUUUAUUAAAGCAACUGUUAAGUUUUUGGCUUAAUAUGCCCAGAGAUGACACGGAGGUAUCAUAAAUUGUGUUUAAUGACCAGACACAUGUGGUUAAUGACCCCAUACUGAGUCAUACAAAUAUGGGUCCCUGGGUUUAUGACACCCUGUUUUCUUAGUUAUUGUCUGGACAGUAUCCGAUCAUAUCGAGAUAAUCGGUUUGUGAUGAGCAAAGGGGCAAUUAAACAAUGGGUGGUCAAAAUUGGUGUAAACAAUUAAAUAAAAACAUUUACAUGUAUCAAGAGGAUUUAGUUAAUCUGUAACAAGUGACGCUAGCGGGGACUGGCGGGGCCAACUUCCGAGGCUUUUUGUGUCAGGCACGUGCCGCCAUCGACAGCGACACGACCGUGGGGACACUUGCCGAUGACGACGCCACCGUUACGUUCGCAAACAAUUGUGGCGCGGGAUCGAUUACCCAUUCAGAGAACCGUGACAAGGGAUCCGCAAAGUUCAGGUGGACUCCUUCCAGUGAAACUUCAAAUGUUCAUAUUGUCUGUACGGUGGUUCAGACGAAUCCUAUCUACUGGGUGAAGGCCGUCCAUGCGCAGGUUUCCCCGUGCUCGAGUGCUGCACGUGCGACACUCGCCUUCAUGGCGUCCGUCGGUGUUCUCCUCGCCUAUGUCAUAUAAACGACAGCUGUCGAUUGCUUCGGCGUCAUUGCAAUAUGCCGUACAUGUUGCCUUUGAGCAAUUUACAGGGCCUUCAAUAUAAAUAUUGAAACUAAUUUCUUUCUUAUAUAUAAUACGUGAGGUCAUAUUUUUUACAACUUCAAUAUGUACAAUGGCAUUGGGCUUUAUAUAGUCAUUCAUGGAAUAUAUGUACAUUUACAUAUUCAUAUGUAUCUGUCAUACGAACAUCUUAUUAAAUUAUUAUAAAAUCAUACUGCUUUACGUUUUAUAUUAUAUUAUUGAAUUUAUUAGAUCACAAUUUCUUUCGAUUCCGUUUCACAUGUUUGUUCAUGAAAUUUGGGCCCUAAGAGAUCAUGACUUCAACACAUUAUUGCUUCUCGUAAUACCACUGUUCUGUGAGACUGAAUUGAUUUUUAAAUGUGUCAAAUAAAAGAAACUUCUUUAUCCGAUUCUAAGGUACGAAUAAAUGUCUUCAAGCAAAAUUGGUUCCUUUACUAGGACGUUGAUAAUGACACACAAGACUAGGAGAACGGCAACUGAUGAUGAGGAAUACGAUGCUGGAAAAAAGUUGCUAAUGCUUACACUGGGGUUGUUGUUGUAAUAUUUGUAGAUUUGAACCAGUAGCGUAACAUUGAGUUCGUUGUUUCGACCGAUUUGCAUACCUUGCAUCAUAAGGGCUUGAUGUAUUAACGGCUGCAAAACAAAUAAAUAAAAACAUGUGUUCGUAAGAUUAUUUUUUAUAUAAAUAUUUUUAAGUAUAAUUAUAGACAAUGCAUAUUAUUAUGUUGACGAUGACGAUAAAGAUAU